AGAGUUUGAUCCUGGCUCAGGACGAACGCUGGCGGCGUGCCUAACACAUGCAAGUCGAGCGGAGACAGUGAGUAGCUUGCUAUGAGCUGUUUUAGCGGCGGACGGGUGAGUAACGCGUGAGCAACCUUUCCCAGACAGGGGAAUAACACACCGAAAGGUGUACUAAUACCGCAUAAGACCACGGGAUCACAUGGUUCUGGGGUAAAAGAUUUAUCGGUUUGGGGUGGGCUCGCGUCCGAUUAGGUAGUUGGUGAGGUAACGGCCCACCAAGCCGACGAUCGGUAGCCGACCUGAGAGGGUGAUCGGCCACAUUGGGACUGAGACACGGCCCAAACUCCUACGGGAGGCAGCAGUGGGGAAUAUUGGGCAAUGGAGGAAACUCUGACCCAGCAACGCCGCGUGGAGGAAGAAGGUUUUCGGAUCGUAAACUCCUGUCCUUGGAGACGAGUAGAAGACGGUAUCCAAGGAGGAAGCCCCGGCUAACUACGUGCCAGCAGCCGCGGUAAUACGUAGGGGGCAAGCGUUGUCCGGAAUAAUUGGGCGUAAAGGGCGCGUAGGCGGCUCGGUAAGUCUGGAGUGAAAGUCCUGCUUUUAAGGUGGGAAUUGCUUUGGAUACUGUCGGGCUUGAGUGCAGGAGAGGUUAGUGGAAUUCCCAGUGUAGCGGUGAAAUGCGUAGAGAUUGGGAGGAACACCAGUGGCGAAGGCGACUAACUGGACUGUAACUGACGCUGAGGCGCGAAAGUGUGGGGAGCAAACAGGAUUAGAUACCCUGGUAGUCCACACUGUAAACGAUGAAUGCUACGUGUAGGGGGUAUCGACCCCUUCUGUGCCGCAGUCAACACAAUAAGCAUUCCGCCUGGGGAGUACGGCCGCAAGGUUGAAACUCAAAGGAAUUGACGGGGGCCCGCACAAGCAGCGGAGCAUGUGGUUUGAUUCGACGCAACGCGAAGAACCUUACCAAGUCUUGACAUCCCUUGACGAUGCUGGAAACAGUAUUUCUCUUCGGAGCAAGGAGACAGGUGGUGCAUGGUUGUCGUCAGCUCGUGUCGUGAGAUGUUGGGUUAAGUCCCGCAACGAGCGCAACCCUUAUGGUCAGUUACUACGCAAGAGGACCCUGGCCAGACUGCCGUUGACAGAACGGAGGAAGGUGGGGAUGACGUCAAAUCAUCAUGCCCUUUAUGACUUGGGCUACACACGUACUACAAUGGCGUUAAACAAAGAGAAGCAAGACCGCGAGGUGGAGCAAAACUCAGAAACAACGUCCCAGUUCGGACUGCAGGCUGCAACUCGCCUGCACGAAGUCGGAAUUGCUAGUAAUCGUGGAUCAGCAUGCCACGGUGAGUACGUUCCCGGGCCUUGUACACACCGCCCGUCACACCAUGAGAGCCGGGGGGACCCGAAGUCGGUAGUCUAACCGCAAGGAGGACGCCGCCGAAGGUAAAACUGGUGAUUGGGGUGAAGUCGUAACAAGGUA
rnacentral:rRNA from 1 species